CCUACAUGAAGCUGGAAUUGCUAGUAAUCACAGGUCAGCAUACUGUGGUGAAUACGUUCCCGGGCCUUGUACACACCGCCCGUCACACCAUGAGAGUUGAGAAUACCCGAAGCCCAUGUCAAAGUGGUCGAAGGUAGGCUUGGUGAUUGGGGUGAAGUCGUAACAAGGUAAC
rnacentral:rRNA from 1 species